rnacentral:rRNA from 1 species
ACACGACUACAUUAGACUACCCCGGUAGUCCCAGCCCUAAACGAUGCGCGUUAGGUGUAUCGGUGACCACGAGUCACCGAGGUGCCGAAGGGAAACCGUGAAACGUGCCGCCGUGGGAAGUACGGUCGCAAGGCUAGAAACGUUAAAGGAAUUGGCGGGGGAGCACCACAACGGGUGGAGCCUGCGGUUUAAUUGGACUCAACGCCGGGAAGCUCACCGGAUAAGACAGCGGAAUGAUUGCCGGGCUGAAGACCCUGCAUGACCAGCUG